GAUGAACGCUGGCGGCGUGCCUAAUACAUGCAAGUCGAGCGAACAGACGAGGAGCUUGCUCCUCUGACGUUAGCGGCGGACGGGUGAGUAACACGUGGAUAACCUACCUAUAAGACUGGGAUAACUUCGGGAAACCGGAGCUAAUACCGGAUAAUAUAUUGAACCGCAUGGUUCAAUAGUGAAAGACGGUUUUGCUGUCACUUAUAGAUGGAUCCGCGCCGCAUUAGCUAGUUGGUAAGGUAACGGCUUACCAAGGCGACGAUGCGUAGCCGACCUGAGAGGGUGGUCGGCGACACUGGAAGUGGGACACGGUCCAGACUCCUACGGGAGGGAGCAGUAGGGAAUCUUCCGCAAUGGGCGAAAGCCUGACGGAGCAAGGCCGCGUGAGUGAUGAAGGUCUUCGGAUCGUAAAACUCUGUUAUUAGGGAAGAACAAAUGUGUAAGUAACUGUGCACGUCUUGACGGUACCUGAUCAGAAAGCCACGGCUAACUACGUG
rnacentral:rRNA from 1 species